ACAGCAGCAGCCGCGGUAAUACAUAGGGUGCGAGCGUUAAUCGGAUUUACUGGGCGUAAAGCGUGCGUAGGCGGCUUCUUAAGUCGGAUGUGAAAUCCCUGAGCUUAACUUAGGAAUUGCAUUCGAUACUGGGAAGCUAGAGUAUGGGAGAGGAUGGUAGAAUUCCAGGUGUAGCGGUGAAAUGCGUAGAGAUCUGGAGGAAUACCGAUGGCGAAGGCAGCCAUCUGGCCUAAUACUGACGCUGAGGUACGAAAGCAUGGGGAGCAAACAGGAUUAGAUACCCCCGUAGUCCCUGUCUCUUAUAC
rnacentral:rRNA from 1 species